rnacentral:lncRNA from 1 species
AAUGAAUAAAGAAGAGAAUGCUUGUGUCGAUUGUUAGUGUUAAUUAUUAAUCUCAAAAGUUCGUGCUGUUAGAAAUACAAAAUCAAUUCACUUAAAGUGUACAGACGCAACACCCAAGGAUCUCGAUUGUGACUUAUUAGUCCGACCAGUCUUACGCCACUUCGAAUAUGACUCGGUCCAAUCCACCCUUCAGUCAUUUCAAACAUAUAUCAGCCCAACCCGACUUCCCACCACAUGGCAGGAUGUUAGCCCUUUUAAGCCAACAACUUAAACUUUUAAUCGAGUCUGACUACUAUAUUCUUAUGAGUACGAUCGCCUUUGUACUCAUAAGUCAUUUUCGAUGAUAUAACUUUCAAAUCGACGAUUUAUACCGUUAAAUAUUAUCUAGAGCAUUUAAAACUUCUAAAAAUAAAAUUUUAUAAUUUUUUGACAUCAUUUAUCUUACGAUCAAAAGAUCUCAAAAUUGAUAAUUUUUAACGGCCGGUAUGAGAUACUUGCUAGUUUAACGGCGUAAAAGAAUCGAAAUCUGUUAAAUUUUUUAUACAAAAUUCUAUUCACUAUCUAGAUAAAGAUCAAUAACUCUGAUUUUAAAUUGAAGGAUUCGACCAUCUUUUUUUAGGACGUUAUUCGAUUUUGACUAUUCAUUUUAUGCCCGCUUGAUGGAAUUUAUUAUGAUUUCAAAAACUUACAAAAUUUAUUUUUUAGAGGUUUAAAAUACUGUAAAUCAUAUUUGACGAUGUGGAUCGUCAAUUCGAAAGAUCAAUCAUCGAAAAUAACUUAUGAGUCGAAGGGCUCUAUAUUCAUAAAAGAAUAUAUAGUAGCCUUACUCCUAAUCUCUUUUAAUAUAAAUAUAUACUACUAAGUUAGCUAGUCGGUGGUAUUCUUAUAUGACAUCACACAGGAGAUAUUCAUAUAUUCAUUUUAGAAUUUUUACAAAUCAUUAUAUAUUUUUUUUGAAAGAAAGGUGGUAUGUUUUUUACUUUAUUUAUCAGGUAAAUAAAUUUAACUAUAUAGGGUGAGACAGUUAGGGUCUCAGAAGGCGACGGAACAAAAGAAAGAGGAACUAAAAAAAAAAGAAUUUUUUUUCCUAACUUUA